GGGUUGUGAGGUUAAGCGACUAAGCGUACACGGUGGAUGCCCUGGCAGUCAGAGGCGAUGAAGGGCGUGCUAAUCUGCGAUAAGCGCCGGUAAGGUGAUAUGAACCGUUAUAACCGGCGAUACCCGAAUGGGGAAACCCAGUGUGAUUCGUCACACUAUCAUUAACUGAAUCCAUAGGUUAAUGAGGCGAACCGGGGGAACUGAAACAUCUAAGUACCCCGAGGAAAAGAAAUCAACCGAGAUUCCCCCAGUAGCGGCGAGCGAACGGGGAGGAGCCCAGAGCCUGAAUCAGCAUGUGUGUUAGUGGAAGCGUCUGGAAAGGCGCGCGAUACAGGGUGACAGCCCCGUACACAAAAGCGCAUAUGCUGUGAGCUCGAUGAGUAGGGCGGGACACGUGGUAUCCUGUCUGAAUAUGGGGGGACCAUCCUCCAAGGCUAAAUACUCCUGACUGACCGAUAGUGAACCAGUACCGUGAGGGAAAGGCGAAAAGAACCCCGGCGAGGGGAGUGAAAAAGAACCUGAAACCGUGUACGUACAAGCAGUGGGAGCCCCACCACUAAGCCAGUGGUGAACUCCACAUACGCAUCCUUUGCUGAGGAGACGGUUAACGGAGCGAAAGCGACGUUCAACCUCAAAAGAAGCAGAGGGGGCUUAGUGGUGGGGUGACUGCGUACCUUUUGUAUAAUGGGUCAGCGACUUAUAUUCUGUAGCAAGGUUAACUGUAUAGGGGAGCCGGAGGGAAACCGAGUCUUAACCGGGCGUUAAGUUGCAGGGUAUAGACCCGAAACCCGGUGAUCUAGCCAUGGGCAGGUUGAAGGUUGGGUAACACUAACUGGAGGACCGAACCGACUAAUGUUGAAAAAUUAGCGGAUGACCUGUGGCUGGGGGUGAAAGGCCAAUCAAACCGGGAGAUAGCUGGUUCUCCCCGAAAGCUAUUUAGGUAGCGCCUCGUGAAUUCAUCUCCGGGGGUAGAGCACUGUUUCGGCUAGGGGGCCAUCCCGGCUUACCAACCCGAUGCAAACUGCGAAUACCGGAGAAUGUUAUCACGGGAGACACACGGCGGGUGCUAAUGUCCGUCGUGAAGAGGGAAACAACCCAGACCGCCAGCUAAGGUCCCAAAGUCAUGGUUAAGUGGGAAACGAUGUGGGAAGGCCCAGACAGCCAGGAUGUUGGCUUAGAAGCAGCCAUCAUUUAAAGAAAGCGUAAUAGCUCACUGGUCGAGUCGGCCUGCGCGGAAGAUGUAACGGGGCUAAACCAUGCACCGAAGCUGCGGCAGCGACACCGUGUGUUGUUGGGUAGGGGAGCGUUCUGUAAGCCUGUGAAGGUGUGCUGUGAGGCAUGCUGGAGGUAUCAGAAGUGCGAAUGCUGACAUAAGUAACGAUAAAGCGGGUGAAAAGCCCGCUCGCCGGAAGACCAAGGGUUCCUGUCCAACGUUAAUCGGGGCAGGGUGAGUCGACCCCUAAGGCGAGGCCGAAAGGCGUAGUCGAUGGGAAACGGGUUAAUAUUCCCGUACUUGGUGUUACUGCGAAGGGGGGACGGAGAAGGCUAUGUUGGCCGGGCGACGGUUGUCCCGGUUUAAGCGUGUAGGUAUGUGUUCCAGGUAAAUCCGGUUCACUUUAACACUGAGGCGUGACGACGAGGCACUACGGUGCUGAAGCAACAAAUGCCCUGCUUCCAGGAAAAGCCUCUAAGCAUCAGGUAACAUCAAAUCGUACCCCAAACCGACACAGGUGGUCAGGUAGAGAAUACCAAGGCGCUUGAGAGAACUCGGGUGAAGGAACUAGGCAAAAUGGUGCCGUAACUUCGGGAGAAGGCACGCUGACACGUAGGUGAAGUGAUUUACUCACGGAGCUGAAGUCAGCCGAAGAUACCAGCUGGCUGCAACUGUUUAUUAAAAACACAGCACUGUGCAAACACGAAAGUGGACGUAUACGGUGUGACGCCUGCCCGGUGCCGGAAGGUUAAUUGAUGGGGUCAGCGCAAGCGAAGCUCCUGAUCGAAGCCCCGGUAAACGGCGGCCGUAACUAUAACGGUCCUAAGGUAGCGAAAUUCCUUGUCGGGUAAGUUCCGACCUGCACGAAUGGCGUAAUGAUGGCCAGGCUGUCUCCACCCGAGACUCAGUGAAAUUGAACUCGCUGUGAAGAUGCAGUGUACCCGCGGCAAGACGGAAAGACCCCGUGAACCUUUACUAUAGCUUGACACUGAACAUUGAGCCUUGAUGUGUAGGAUAGGUGGGAGGCUUUGAAGUGUGGACGCCAGUCUGCAUGGAGCCGACCUUGAAAUACCACCCUUUAAUGUUUGAUGUUCUAACGUGGACCCGUGAUCCGGGUUGCGGACAGUGUCUGGUGGGUAGUUUGACUGGGGCGGUCUCCUCCUAAAGAGUAACGGAGGAGCACGAA
rnacentral:rRNA from 1 species